CCAAAGAGGGGGACCUUCGGGCCUCUUGCCAUCGGAUGUGCCCAGAUGGGAUUAGCUAGUAGGUGGGGUAACGGCUCACCUAGGCGACGAUCCCUAGCUGGUCUGAGAGGAUGACCAGCCACACUGGAACUGAGACACGGUCCAGACUCCUACGGGAGGCAGCAGUGGGGAAUAUUGCACAAUGGGCGCAAGCCUGAUGCAGCCAUGCCGCGUGUAUGAAGAAGGCCUUCGGGUUGUAAAGUACUUUCAGCGGGGAGGAAGGGAGUAAAGUUAAUACCUUUGCUCAUUGACGUUACCCGCAGAAGAAGCACCGGCUAACUCCGUGCCAGCAGCCGCGGUAAUACGGAGGGUGCAAGCGUAAUCGGAAUA
rnacentral:rRNA from 1 species